rnacentral:lncRNA from 1 species
GUACCCUGAAUUCAUCUUGUUGAGUAGCUGGGAAGUUUUAUGAAAGAUAUAGCCUGAAUAGCUCAGUAACUCAACUGAAAGACAGAAAGAAAUGUGACUUGGCGAAAACAAAAGAAAGAGCUUCUAGGAUCUGAUGACUCAAAGCAAUACUCUAAGGUGAGCAUCUCAUCAUCCAGCAUUGGGACUGACUGGCUUCGAGACAUACUGGACAUACCAUGCUCUGGUCCCAGCAUCUUAUCCGGUCGUUCGUGGCUUCCUAAGUGAUCACUCCCAGAAGCAUAGUUUUCUAAUGGUAUGUUAUACACCUUAUAUGUACCAAUGUCAAUCUCAUCGAUACUCUGUGACUUUUUGAAUUUAUUAGACUUGAUAUCUUUCAUUAGGGGGGAAAGCCUCUCUGUGCUUUUGCUAAUUGAAAUAACACCUUUAGAAGAU